GGGUUGUGAGGUUAAGCGACUAAGCGUACACGGUGGAUGCCCUGGCAGUCAGAGGCGAUGAAGGGCGUGCUAAUCUGCGAUAAGCGCCGGUAAGGUGAUAUGAACCGUUAUAACCGGCGAUACCCGAAUGGGGAAACCCAGUGUGACUCGUCACACUAUCAUUAACUGAAUCCAUAGGUUAAUGAGGCGAACCGGGGGAACUGAAACAUCUAAGUACCCCGAGGAAAAGAAAUCAACCGAGAUUCCCCCAGUAGCGGCGAGCGAACGGGGAGGAGCCCAGAGCCUGAAUCAGCAUGUGUGUUAGUGGAAGCGUCUGGAAAGGCGCGCGAUACAGGGUGACAGCCCCGUACACAAAAGCGCAUGUGCUGUGAGCUCGAUGAGUAGGGCGGGACACGUGGUAUCCUGUCUGAAUAUGGGGGGACCAUCCUCCAAGGCUAAAUACUCCUGACUGACCGAUAGUGAACCAGUACCGUGAGGGAAAGGCGAAAAGAACCCCGGCGAGGGGAGUGAAAAAGAACCUGAAACCGUGUACGUACAAGCAGUGGGAGCNNNNNNNNNNNNNNNNNNNNNNNNNNNNNNNNNNNNNNNNNNNNGGGCGUUAAGUUGCAGGGUAUAGACCCGAAACCCGGUGAUCUAGCCAUGGGCAGGUUGAAGGUUGGGUAACACUAACUGGAGGACCGAACCGACUAAUGUUGAAAAAUUAGCGGAUGACCUGUGGCUGGGGGUGAAAGGCCAAUCAAACCGGGAGAUAGCUGGUUCUCCCCGAAAGCUAUUUAGGUAGCGCCUCGUGAAUUCAUCUCCGGGGGUAGAGCACUGUUUCGGCUAGGGGGCCAUCCCGGCUUACCAACCCGAUGCAAACUGCGAAUACCGGAGAAUGUUAUCACGGGAGACACACGGCGGGUGCUAACGUCCGUCGUGAAGAGGGAAACAACCCAGACCGCCAGCUAAGGUCCCAAAGUCAUGGUUAAGUGGGAAACGAUGUGGGAAGGCCCAGACAGCCAGGAUGUUGGCUUAGAAGCAGCCAUCAUUUAAAGAAAGCGUAAUAGCUCACUGGUCGAGUCGGCCUGCGCGGAAGAUGUAACGGGGCUAAACCAUGCACCGAAGCUGCGGCAGCGANNNNNNNUGCUGGAGGUAUCAGAAGUGCGAAUGCUGACAUAAGUAACGAUAAAGCGGGUGAAAAGCCCGCUCGCCGGAAGACCAAGGGUUCCUGUCCAACGUUAAUCGGGGCAGGGUGAGUCGACCCCUAAGGCGAGGCCGAAAGGCGUAGUCGAUGGGAAACGGGUUAAUAUUCCCGUACUUGGUGUUACUGCGAAGGGGGGACGGAGAAGGCUAUGUUGGCCGGGCGACGGUUGUCCCGGUUUAAGCGUGUAGGUGUGUGUUCCAGGUAAAUCCGGUUCACUUUAACACUGAGGCGUGA
rnacentral:rRNA from 1 species